rnacentral:rRNA from 1 species
CCUACGGGAGGCAGCAGUGGGGAAUAUUGGGCAAUGGGCGCAAGCCUUACCCAGCAAUACCGCGUGAGUGAAGAAGGUCUUCGGAUUGUAAAGCUCUUUGAUCCGGGACGAACAGAUGACGGUUCCUGAAGAACAAGACCCGGCUAACUCCGUGCCAGCGACCGCGGUAACACGGUGGGGGCGAGCGUUGUCAGGAAUGACUGGGCUGAAAGGGUGGGGAGGGGACAUAGUAAGUUAGAAGGGAAAUACCCAGGGCUUAACUUGGGUGCUGCUUCUAAGACUGUUGAGCUUGAGGGCGGGAGAGGUGAGUGGAAUUCCAAGUGUAGCGGUGGAAUGCGUAGAGAUUAGGAGGAACACCAGAGGCGAAGGCGAUUAACUGGACCGUAACUGACGCUGAGGCACGAAAGUGUGGGUAGCAAACAGGAUUAGAUACCCCUGUAGUC